rnacentral:rRNA from 1 species
AUUGAACGCUGGCGGCAUGCCUUACACAUGCAAGUCGAACGGCAGCACGGGAGCAAUCCUGGUGGCGAGUGGCGAACGGGUGAGUAAUAUAUCGGAACGUGCCCAGUAGUGGGGGAUAACUGCUCGAAAGAGCAGCUAAUACCGCAUACGACCUGAGGGUGAAAGGGGGGGAUCGCAAGACCUCUCGCUAUUGGAGCGGCCGAUAUCAGAUUGGCUAGUUGGUGGGGUAAAGGCCUACCAAGGCAACGAUCUGUAGUUGGUCUGAGAGGACGACCAGCCACACUGGGACUGAGACACGGCCCAGACUCCUACGGGAGGCAGCAGUGGGGAAUUUUGGACAAUGGGCGCAAGCCUGAUCCAGCAAUGCCGCAUGCAGGAAGAAGGCCUUCGGGUUGUAAACUGCUUUUGUCAGGGAAGAAAUCCUCUAGGUUAAUACCCUUGGGGGGAUGACGGUACCUGAAGAAUAAGCACCGGCUAACUACGUGCCAGCCGCCGCAGUAAGAC